GAUGAACGCUGGCGGCGUGCUUAACACAUGCAAGUCGAACGGUGAAGGCGGAGCUUGCUCUGCUGGAUCAGUGGCGAACGGGUGAGUAACACGUGAGCAAUCUGCCCCUGACUCUGGGAUAAGCGCUGGAAACGGCGUCUAAUACUGGAUACGAGCUGCGAAGGCAUCUUCAGCAGCUGGAAAGAAUUUCGGUCAGGGAUGAGCUCGCGGCCUAUCAGCUUGUUGGUGAGGUAAUGGCUCACCAAGGCGUCGACGGGUAGCCGGCCUGAGAGGGUGACCGGCCACACUGGGACUGAGACACGGCCCAGACUCCUACGGGAGGCAGCAGUGGGGAAUAUUGCACAAUGGGCGAAAGCCUGAUGCAGCAACGCCGCGUGAGGGACGACGGCCUUCGGGUUGUAAACCUCUUUUAGCAGGGAAGAAGCGAAAGUGACGGUACCUGCAGAAAAAACGCCGGCUAACUACGU
rnacentral:rRNA from 1 species